AGAGUUUGAUCCUGGCUCAGGAUGAACGCUGGCGGCGUGCCUAAUACAUGCAAGUCGAACGGAGAUUGUAGCAAUACGGUCUUAGUGGCGAACGGGUGAGUAACGCGUUGGUGACCUGCCCCGAAGUGUGGGAUAACAGCCCGAAAGGGUUGCUAAUACCGCAUGUGGUUUUUCAGAUUAGAUGCCGGAUUUCUAAAGGAGAAAUUCGCUUCGGGAGGGGCCUGCGUCCCAUCAGCUAGUUGGUAGGGUAAAAGCCUACCAAGGCGAUGACGGGUAGGGGACCUGAGAGGGUGGCCCCCCACAAUGGAACUGAAACACGGUCCAUACACCUACGGGUGGCAGCAGUAGGGAAUAUUGGUUAAUGGGCGAAAGCCUGAACCAGCAACGCCGCGUGUGCGAUGACGGCCUUCGGGUUGUAAAGCACUUUUUGAGGGGAUGAGGAAGGACAGUACCCUCAGA
rnacentral:rRNA from 1 species